rnacentral:rRNA from 1 species
UUUAAGGUCUAAUCUGCCCUAUGAGGGUUUAAAUGGCCGCGGUAUUUUGACCGUGCAAAGGUAGCAUAAUAAUUAGUUUUUUAAUUGAAAGCUGGAAUGAAUGAUUGGACGAGAAAAUUACUGUCUCAAUUUAAUUUUAUUAGAAUUUUAUUUUUAAGUAAAAAAGCUUAAAUAUUAUUAUAAGACGAGAAGACCCUAUAGAGUUUUAUAAUAAUUUAUUUAUUAAUUUUUAAGAAUUUUUUUUUAUUUAUAUUUAAUUUAUUAUUUUAUUGGGGUGAUGAAAAAAUAGAUGUAACUUUUUUUUAUUUUAUCAUUAAUAUAUGUUUAUUUGAUCCAUUAUUUAUGAUUAAAAGAUUAAAUUACCUUAGGGAUAACAGCGUAAUUUUUUUUUAGAGUUCUUAUCGAAAGAAAAGAUUGCGACCUCGAUGUUGGAUUAAAAUAAAUUAUUGGUGUAGAAGCUAUUUAAUUGGGUCUGUUCGACCUUUAAAAUUUUACAUGAUCUGAGUUUAGACCGGCGUGAGCCAGGUUGGUUUCUAUCUUUAAUACAAUAAAAUAUUUUAGUACGAAAGGACCAAAUAUUUAUAAAAAUUAUUAAUUAAUGAAUAUUAUUG